CUCCAAAUGAUGCGUUCAAAAUAGAACGAAAUGCGUAUCCUGGAU
rnacentral:hammerhead_ribozyme from 1 species